UUGCAGUGAUGUCUGAAUUUCUUCACCUGAACCUCAUUUGUGAAGAGCAAAUCCAUACAAGCUUUUUAACCCUGAGCAAU